ensembl:lncRNA
GGAAUGAUGUAAAUAUAUGUGUUGUACCAGACACGACACAAGAAGUACUGCUGAAGAAGCAAAAGAAAAAAAAACACUCUCAGGCGUAACACAACAGUUUAAUGUUUAUACUGCAGAACAUGUGCACACUCAAUAUCACUUCACUGUCAUAAACACACAGUAAUUGGAUGCAAGAAGUUAGCAAUGGCCUGAAAUGGGGCCAACUGUGGUCAUCCGUUGGUCUGUUGUGCCUUGGGACUGGUGAUACAUAAGCAGAGGAGAGCUGUGCGUUAUUUCCAGUGGUUAAGGUCGCAUCCGGAGAGGAGAGCAGUGCGUUAUUUCCAGUGGUUAAGGUCGCAUCCGGAGAGGAGAGCUGUGCGUUAUUUCCAGUCGUUA